rnacentral:rRNA from 1 species
AUUGAACGCUGGCGGCAUGCUUUACACAUGCAAGUCGAACGGUAACAGGUUAAGCUGACGAGUGGCGAACGGGUGAGUAAUGCAUCGGAACGUGCCCAGUCGUGGGGGAUAACACUUCGAAAGAAGUGCUAAUACCGCAUACGAUCUGAGGAUGAAAGCGGGGGACCGUAAGGCCUCGCGCGAUCGGAGCGGCCGAUGUCAGAUUAGGUAGUUGGUGGGGUAAAGGCUCACCAAGCCGACGAUCUGUAGCUGGUCUGAGAGGACGACCAGCCACACUGGGACUGAGACACGGCCCAGACUCCUACGGGAGGCAGCAGUGGGGAAUUUUGGACAAUGGGCGCAAGCCUGAUCCAGCAAUGCCGCGUGCAGGAAGAAGGCCUUCGGGUUGUAAACUGCUUUUGUACGGAGCGAAAAGGCUCUCUCUAAUACAGGGGGCUCAUGACGGUACCGUAAGAAUAAGCACCGGCUAACUACGUGCCAGCCGCCGCAGUAACAC